ACCAACUGGUGGUAUUCGCCAUGUGCAUAGGAGUUUACGAGUUGGGUAUUUCAAUCAGCAUCACGUCGACUCAUUAAAUAUGAAUCAAUCAAGUUUAGAACUUUUUAAAUCUCGAUGGCCUGGAAAGCAAGAUGUUGAAUACAGAUCACAUUUAGGAAGGUAUGGUGUAACAGGAGAUUUAGCAAUGAGGUCUAUAUCAAGUUUAUCAGGUGGUCAAAAAAGUAGAGUAGCAUUUGCUGUAAUGACCUGGCAUGA
rnacentral:lncRNA from 1 species